rnacentral:rRNA from 1 species
GCUGAACGCUAGCUACAGGCUUAACACAUGCAAGUAGAGGGACCGGCGCACGGGUGAGUAACACGUAUCCAACCUGCCAUUUACUCGGGGAUAGCCUGUCGAAAGAAAGAUUAAUCCCAGAUGUAAAGGCAGGGUAUGCGUUUCAUUAGGUUGUUGGGGAGGUAACGGCUCACCAAGCCUUCGAUGGAUAGGGGUUCUGAGAGGAAGGUCCCCCACAUUGGAACUGAGCCACGGUCCAAACUCCUACGGGAGGCAGCAGUGAGUAAUAGUGGUCAAGGGGCGUUAGCCUGAACCAGCCAAGUAGCGUGAAGGAUGAAGGCUUAUGGGUCGUAAAUUUCUUUUAUAGAAGAAUAUGUAUUAUAUGAAUAAGGAGCGGCUAACUCCGUGCCAGCCGCCGCGGUAAUUC